rnacentral:snRNA from 1 species
GAAUAUGUAAAGGGGCAAUCUGGCUGCGACAUCUAUCAACCCAUUGAUAACCGGGGUGGAUUCAGCUAAUCUGGGUGGCUAGGCAAAUGUCCCUCCUUCUUGCACGGCUCCAUGAAGCUGGGUGCUCUAUCAAAGAGGAUGAUGGGCUGGGCGUGGUGGGUCACGCCUAUAAUCCCAGCACUUUGAGAGGCCGAGGUGAAAGGACUGCCUGAGCUCACAGGUUCGAGACCAGCCUAGGUAACUUGGCGAGACCUCAUGUCUACAAAAAUAAAACAUUUUUUAAAAAGUA